rnacentral:misc_RNA from 1 species
GAAAUGCGAUAAGUAAUGCGAAUUGCAGAAUUUCAGUGAGUCAUCGAAUCUUUGAACGCACAUUGCGCCCUUCGGUAUCCCGAAGGGCAUGCCUGUUCGAGCGUCAUUAUCACCCCUCAAGCUCCCCGGCUUGGUGUUAGACGGUUUAGCCUUGGUGACGAGGCCCGUUUUAAAGUCAAUGACGGCGGCCUGUUCGACCCCCGGUACACCGAGCUUCUUAACUAAGCACGUAUCGGUUGAAGGGUAGGCAGGACCCGGUCUUCUUCCUUAACCGGAAACUCUUUCCAAGGUUGACCUCGAAUCAGGUAGGGAUACCCGCUGAACUUAA